AGAGAUGCACUGGGCGUAAAGCGUGCGCAGGCGGUUUUGUAAGACAGAGGUGAAAUCCCCGGGCUCAACCUGGGAACUGCCUUUGUGACUGCAAGGCUGGAGUGCGGCAGAGGGGGAUGGAAUUCCGCGUGUAGCAGUGAAAUGCGUAGAUAUGCGGAGGAACACCGAUGGCGAAGGCAAUCCCCUGGGCCUGCACUGACGCUCAUGCACGAAAGCGUGGGGGAGCAAACA
rnacentral:rRNA from 1 species